rnacentral:rRNA from 1 species
UUGAACGCUGGCGGCAUGCUUUACACAUGCAAGUCGCACGGCAGCGGGGAGGAGCUUGCUUCUCUGCCGGCGAGUGGCGAACGGGUGAGUAAUACAUCGGAACGUGUCGAGAAGAGGGGGAUAACCACCCGAAAGGGUGGCUAAUACCGCAUAAAUUCUGAGGAAGAAAGCUGGGGACCUAGGAAUAGGCCUAGCGCUUUUUGAGCGGCCGAUGUCGGAUUAGCUAGUUGGUGAGGUAAAGGCUCACCAAGGCGAAGAUCUGUAGCGGGUCUGAGAGGAUGAUCCGCCACACUGGGACUGAGACACGGCCCAGACUCCUACGGGAGGCAGCAGUGGGGAAUUUUGGACAAUGGGGGCAACCCUGAUCCAGCCAUGCCGCGUGUAUGAAGAAGGCCUUAGGGUUGUAAAGUACUUUUGUUAGGGAAGAAAAGUCAGCUGUGAAUAAUGGCUGAUACUGACGGUACCUAAAGAAUAAGCACCGGCUAACUACGUG